AUGUGUGGUUAUCAAGAGGAAUCGCUGUUUCAUUCCCUGGUAACAUGUGAACAUGCGAAGCUAUGCUGGAAAGAGGCAGAAACUUUCUUUGAACUUAAAGUGCCACGGCUGCACCCAGCUACGUGGUCGAGGGACUUACUUGAUCCCAACUUCAUUGGGAAAGACAGAGCGGCUAUUAUUAUAUCAGUCAUGUGGAUUAUUUGGUCAAGCAGGAAUAGGUACACUCACGAAGAAGUCAAGUACCAGCCCGGGCGAUCCAUGGUCCUAGUGAAGGAACUCAUUCAAGCCUUGUAUAUCCCUACUGAAGGGGUUGACAAGAGAAAUUUCGGCAAGGAGAAAUGGAAACCGCCGGAAGAAGGGUGGUGCAAGAUCAAUACGGAUGCUUCUGUUAAUGUCAUUGGAGGAUCAUCGGCGAUUGGGAUGGUGGCGCAGGACCAUGCCGGAGAGAUUAUGCUAGCCACAGGCCGUAAGUUGCCGGGCGUGACCGACCCUUAUUGCGCUGAACUGGUAGGUGUCAGAGAAGCUGUGUGUCUGGCUAUGGAGAAGGGCUGGACACGGGUGACCAUUGAGUCGGACUGCAAAACUAUCAUAGACGAGUAUAUGGCGACAGAGAGCAGGUCGACAGGAAGCCCAAUUAUCAGCGAGAUCAAAUCCUAUCUCCACAAUUUUCAGGGACUUCGAAUCAACUAUGUAAGUAGAGAGGCCAAUGAGGCUGCUCACUGGUGUGCUAGAGAGAGCCUUGCAAGUACCUCGAAUGUAACUUCUUUUGAUGUUUUCCCUGCUUCAUUGAUUGCCUUGGUGCAAUCGGAUGUAAACCGUCAACUUAAUGAAUAA
rnacentral:rRNA from 1 species